UGCAUUCACUACUGUAAGUCACUCUGGAUAAGAGCGUCUGCUAAAUGCUUAAAA
rfam:Salmo salar isolate Sally breed double haploid chromosome ssa05, whole genome shotgun sequence.